AAAAAAAUAUGUUUUUUGGCUCACCAGUUUAAAUUAAAAAAAAAUAAAACACCUAGUGAGUUUUGUGUGUGAUCAGGAUAGGGAAUUACUUAAUUUAUAUGUAUGGCCAAUGCAGAAAAGAAGAAUGUCUCUAAAUUCAGCAAGUGGUGUGUGUUGCUCUAAAGGCAGCAAGUGACUCAUGUGAUCAUCUUAGCAGCUGGGCAGCAAGAUUAGAGAGUCACUACGUACACAUUCCCUUACAGAGGGGUCCAAGCUAUUGCUAAAUGAAGUUGUGUUACAGCCAACAACCAAAUAACUGGCAUAAGAAAAUAGUAAAUAAGUGUGUCAUCAGGUCACUGCUCGUAUAAAAGAAAGUGAAAGAGCACACCUAAAUCUGCCCCAGGAAUGAAUCAACACAAAGGACCAUAAAGGAAGUAUCAGAAGACCAAGAAACAUAACAGAAUUCUUGAGCAGUGUCAUAAAUUCUCUGGACUGUGGUUUUGCAAAUGACAUUGCCACCGAAUCCAGGAAUGUGAUUUUUUUUGGGUAGUGCACAGUGCCACAGCAGGACCCCAAGACAAGCGUGUGAAUGCCCAGCAAAUAAAGCUCAAUAGCAUCACCAAUGCCGUGCAGUCUGACUGGGCUGGGGCCUGGGGCUGCAGGAAGCGCUGUGACUCAUCAGGUGGGAGCAAUAUCCAGGAAGUAGCUACAGAAUCCUGCAGAGGCUGGAGAAAGAAACGCAUCCAUAGGAGCCAGAAAAUGAGUGAAAAGGGAGUGUGUGUGUGUUUAUGUGUGUCAGGGGGAGGUUUGACACAAAAAUUGAAAGCACAUAUAAUGAUGCAGCCCAUAUGAAGAGGGGAAUUAUUAGCUAAAAGAUAGCUGUCAGAUUUCUGAAGAUAAACAAAAGGUGGAUCUGAACCUUGAAAUUGUCAGCUCAGCUCAGAAGGAGGCUGCAAAGGCAGAAUUGUGAAAAGAGGGUUUCCUGGAGAUUCCCAGAAGAUUGAGAUGGAUUAUGUGAUUCUGGAAGGAGACAAGAAGCAGGCAAUACAAAGUUGCUAAACAGUUGUAACAAAACACUCGUCAAGCACUUUACCCCUACCUUCAACACCUUGCAAAAUGUAAAAGACAUUUCAUAUUGAGACCACUGUUUCAGCUGAGUUAAUUAGAAACAUUUCCUCACAGUACUCAGCAUCUUGUGCACAUCAUCUAGAGGAGCACUCCUUGCACUACCUACUUUGUUUUUGUGGCUAUUAUUUUUUCAUUGAAAAAGCACCAUCAACUAAAUCAGUAAAUAAAUCAAUUUCCUAAAUGCCUGUCUGAAAAAUG
rnacentral:lncRNA from 1 species